GCCUCCUCUUGUCUUUCUAGUUUUUUUUUCUUAUGGAAUCUAUCACAUUAUACAUGUCUUGUGGUAGAUUUGUAAUGGGAUUGGUCACACGAUGUCAUAGUAUUCCUAUGUUCCUUUUUUCUCUCCAAGGUAUCUUGCCGUGUAAUAUUUUUCCAUCUCUCAAAUCUAGAGUACUAAUAAUUAAGAAAUCUAAAGCCUAAUAGAUAGUGUAUGGACCGACAAAAAAUAAUAGAUAGUGUAUGGAAGUAUCCGAACAGCCCAUUUGAG